rnacentral:lncRNA from 1 species
CAAAUAAUUCAGAUUAAAAUUUCAGUAUAAAAGACUUUUGUUUCUUAGAGAAAGUUAAAAUAAUCCCAUCAUGCUCAACAAAUGCAGCAUUUCUAUUGUUCACACAAAUUUCUGAUCACCAUGGCAGACGUUUCUGCUUACCUACUCAACGUCUAUUUCCCAUUCAGUUUUUGUAAUAUAACCUGAUUUUCAGUGAGGCUGUACGUAGCCAGCUGCAAAUUGCAUUUCCUAACCUCCUUUGCAGGUAGAAGUGGCCAUGUGAUCAUUCUGGCCAAUGAAACAAAAGUGGAAGUUUCUGGGAGAGACUUCAAGGAAAACUCUUUAAAAGAGACUCAAUUCCAUUGGAGCCAAAAUAAUGCAGCUUCACAUCUCCUUAAUGGACAGAAGACUACACUGUUUUUGCUGCACCCAGAGAUAAAAUUAUUGGUUUUGGAGUACCUUCACUGAUGCCAGGGGUGUCAUCUUUACCUUCCAUCACAUAAUAUAUAUAAAGAGAAUUUUUCUUAGCUUUAAAUGAGUUGAUAAGAGGACAAGAAGAAAGUCAAGGACUCCAUUUCCAGGAUUAAAAGCGGUUUUUUCCUUUGUCUUCCAAAUCCUAGCAGUAGAAGCAUUUGAGUUCUGCAGAAAUUACUGAAGUGGUUCAAGUGUGGGCAGUCAGGACACUCAGCCCACCAUACUCAACCCCAACUCAACCUCAACUCUCAGUACGGCAGAGAGACGGAGAACUCAGAGCUAUAACUUUCAGGAAUUCUCAAAACCUCAGACAAAAUGCAUCUUUGUUUUACCACCUGUUAAAGUAUAUCCUCAUCUGCCUCAGUGCACAUAAGUAUACAACACUGCAGAUUGUGUUUAACUUCAUUUGCAAUUAAUUUAACGCAUUUUGUAUCCAACAUUUCUACUAGGAAAUAGUAUUAGUCUAUCCCCAAACUAAAAUUCACUGCAAAAAUGUAAUUCACUCAAGAAAAAUAAUGAUAAUUCUUCAAACACCUUGAGAUGUCAUUCAACAAUCAUACCCAAUGGGUAAAAUUUAGAGUUCAACAUUUAGCUUGCAUUUCUUUCUAACCAAACAUCUCAAGUUCAAAAAAUAAAGCAGAUUGUUUUGUGCAU